UACGUAGGGGGCAAGCGUUGUCCGGAAUUAUUGGGCGUAAAGAGCGUGUAGGCGGCCAGAUAAGUCCGCUGUGAAAUCUCGAGGCUCAACUUCGAGCUGUCGGUGGAAACUAUCUGGCUAGAGUCCGGAAGAGGAGAAUGGAAUUCCUGGUGUAGCGGUGAAAUGCGCAGAUAUCAGGAAGAACACCCGUGGCGAAGGCGGUUCUCUGGGACGGUACUGACGCUGAGACGCGAAAGCAUGGGGAGCAAACAGG
rnacentral:rRNA from 1 species